rnacentral:rRNA from 1 species
AAUCAACGCUGGCGGCGUGCCUCAGACAUGCAAGUCGAACGAUUAAAGCUCUCUUCGGAGAGUGCAUAGAGUGGCGCACGGGUGAGUAACACGUAAGUAAUCUACCUUCGAGUGGGGAAUAACGUCCGGAAACGGACGCUAAUACCGCAUAAUGCAGCGGCAUCGCAAGAUGACAGUUGUUAAAGGAGCAAUUCGCUUGAAGAGGAGCUUGCGGCAGAUUAGCUAGUUGGUAAGGUAAUGGCUUACCAAGGCUACGAUCUGUAACCGGUCUUAGAGGACGGUCGGUCACACUGACACUGAAUAACGGGUCAGACUCCUACGGGAGGCAGCAGUCGGGAAUUUUGGGCAAUGGGCGAAAGCCUGACCCAGCAACGCCGCGUGAAGGAUGAAGUAUUUCGGUAUGUAAACUUCGAAAGAAUGGGAAGAAUCAAUGACGGUACCAUUUAUAAGGUCCGGCUAACUACGUGCCAGCCGCCGUA